UCUUGCUUGUCUGACACUCCACCCAAAUGUGAAGUGUCCUACUGUAACCAGUGUGUUCUGUAAUUUUCAAGGGAGCUGACAACUGCCAUUAGAAGUAAAACCAACAUCGCUUUUGGAUUUUAUCAUUCCCUCUUUGAAUGGUUCCAUCCACUCUAUGAGAAGGAUCUUGCCAAUAACUGUACGACAUGGGAUUAUGUCAAGCGCAAGCGAAUAUUAAAGGCGCUGAACUGGCCGGAUGCGAGUUUGUUUUGUUGUGACACCAGUUCGAUACGAGGUGAUAAAAAGAACAAGCAAAUCGUAAUUCAAGUUCGUACUUCAUCAUGCAUGUGAUGGUGCAGUCCAAGAAGAAAGUAUGUACUUUAUACUGUACUUUAAAUUAAUUUUGGAUGCUUAAAAUUUCUAGGCUCCAUUUCCAGCUGUUUUGGGGGUCCGGUUGUUUAUCCUCCUCCCAACGAACGGCUGGAGUACUGGUCCGUAGUGCUUGUCUGUGACGUCACAUCCGCUUUUUAUGCAAAUUAUCAUGUGGGCACCUGCGGGCAGCGUGGGAAAAAAAAUGGCAGAGUUUGUUACUCCACAAAAAAUUAAACCUGUCAGCAAAGAUGUGUUCUAUGUGGAAAUGUUUUGGAUAAUUCAAGGAAAAGUGUAAAACUAAAAGAGGAACUUGUUUCAAAGCUACAAAAAACGGUAGCUAGCAAGAAUCUCGACUUUGCAACGAUUGUCACAAAUCACUGGGUAAACAAGUAUUUGAGUUAGUCAACAUCAUUGAUCCUGAGCCUGAAGAGCACAAUGCAAGAGAACUAUCCACUGAAACCAGGAAUCACGAGCCAGUGUUAUGUCCUCAGCCUGCCUCUGUUGUGAGACCUCUGUACCUAACUAGAGCUUUUCCUUAUCGCUAUACCAUGCAGCCAGGUUCUACCACUCUCGGUAGCAUGACUGAAUGUCACUAAUUCUGUAGAAUUUCCAAAGCGAAGAAGCUCCCGUGUGUAGAGUUGACGUAAGAACUCUUUUUUUUUGGCAAAAAAGAUACCAAAGUUUAAGGCUGCCAGUUCCUAUCCCGACUUCAGUGAUCCGACCACAAAGUGAACGAAAUUGCUUGUCCUAUUCAGGUAGACACAUGACGGUAAUAAAACUUGUAUCCUAGCUCAUGGUUUAGUU